UGUCGAGCAUAGCUUAGCAAACUAUGCAUUUGCCGCCAUGGCCUAACGCUAUAUAGCCGGAGUACAGGAUGACCGACCCGUAAGAGCGUUUAUAAGUCCCUCAG
rnacentral:sRNA from 12 species